AUUGCUUCUUGGCCUUUUGGCUAAGAUCAAGUGUAGUAUCUUAGUGUCAUUACACGAAAAGCAUCA
ensembl:snRNA U2 U2 spliceosomal RNA